rnacentral:rRNA from 1 species
CCUACGGGAGGCAGCAGUGAGGAAUAUUGGUCAAUGGACGAGAGUCUGAACCAGCCAAGUAGCGUGAAGGAUGACUGCCCUAUGGGUUGUAAACUUCUUUUAUAUGGGAAUAAAAUGUUCCACGUGUGGGAUUUUGUAUGUACCAUAUGAAUAAGGAUCGGCUAACUCCGUGCCAGCAGCCGCGGUAAUACGGAGGAUCCGAGCGUUAUCCGGAUUUAUUGGGUUUAAAGGGUGCGUAGGUGGAGUGUUAAGUCAGUUGUGAAAGUUUGCGGCUCAACCGUAAAAUUGCAGUUGAAACUGGCAGUCUUGAGUACAGUAGAGGUGGGCGGAAUUCGUGGUGUAGCGGUGAAAUGCUUAGAGAUCACGAAGAACUCCGAUUGCGAAGGCAGUUCACUGGACUGCAACUGACGCUGAGGCUCGAAAGUGUGGGUAUCAAACAGGAUUAGAUACCCUUGUAGUC